rnacentral:rRNA from 1 species
UACGUAGGGUGCGAGCGUUGUCCGGAAUUAUUGGGCGUAAAGAGCUCGUAGGCGGCUUGUCACGUCGGGGUGUGAAAGCCCGGGGCUUAACCCCGAGCCUGCUUCUGAUACGGGCAGACUAGAGGUAUGCAGGGGAGAACGGAAUUCCUGGUGUAGCGGUGAAAUGCGCAGAUAUCAGGAGGAACACCGGUGGCGAAGGCGGUUCUCUGGGCAUUACCUGACGCUGAGGAGCGAAAGUGUGGGGAGCGAACAGG